UCUAGUAGUUUAAGAUGCUAUACCAUGCAGUGUAACCUGUGCCGUGUUUGCAUGCAUGUAGGAAUGGCUCAUGUAAACUGACGUCUACAGAUUAUGGUUUGACCAACACUCCGGGACGAUUCUUCCACCAUGUUGCAAGGUUCAGGGCAGAUGUUGAUUCCUUCGUGGUUCAUUCCAACUAUCAUGAGUACGCAAUGAUUCUUCUGCUGAGCACAGAGAAACCAUCAGGAAAUAAAACCACCGCAUUCAAACUUUAUAGUCGAACUAUGAGUGUGAGGGCUACUGUGCUGGAUGACUUCAAAACGCUGGUCAGGCAACAUGGUGUGAGUGAUGACGCUAUCAUCAUGAAUCAGAACAAAGGUGUGUGUGUGUUCCAGGUGAGCGGGUGACACAGCCCUUCACUGCUCAGCCUCAGGUACGUGCGUCACACAGUGAUGUGCUGAAAUGACAUUUGCAUACUGUAACUACAGAUCUGUAUUUGUAUGAAUCAGUCACAGGUUGUGGGGACCAUGUAUUUGCAUCAUCCAGAUUUUUGUUCCCAAGAGGUGGAAAAGAAAUACGGUGCUACCUGUGGUUCCUGCACAAGAGGAGUACGUUGGUAAUGUUUGACCAGGCGAGGCCAAGCGACUCACUGUUUAAAGGGUGACAGAUCAUGUGGAUUGACGGAAGAGGAGGAUCAUCAUCACACAAGCCGCUGUCAUGACAUUUUCCUCAAUGGAUACAAAGACACUUGUCAGUGCGGGCUUCAUAUAGGAUACAGCUGUAUAAACACCAUAUACUACUAUAUCACCAUUGUAUUUUAUUGGCAUGUAGAUAUGUUUGGUGCGCAAAAUUUGUAAUGUAGGUGCUUUGGAAAUAAAGUGAAACCCAUACUGUAUAUCUUGUACGGCAAUGUUUUAAAAUACUGAUGACAUAUUUGU